UACGGGAGGCAGCAGUGAGGAAUUUUCCGCAAUGCGCGAAAGCGUGACGGAGCAAUGCGACGUGGAGGAUGACGGCCUGUGGGUUGUAAACUCCUUUUCUCAGAGAAGAAGUUCUGACGGUAUCUGAGGAAUAAGCACCGGCUAACUCCGUGCCAGCAGCCGCGGUAA
rnacentral:rRNA from 1 species